rnacentral:rRNA from 1 species
UAUCUCUGUAGAGUCUGCAUAUCAAUAAGCGGAGGAAAAGAAACUAACAAGGAUUCCCCUAGUAACGGCGAGUGAAGCGGGAAGAGCUCAAAUUUGAAAUCUUCAAGGUUUGACCUUGACGAAUUGUAGUUUAAAGAAGUGUUUUCGGUUAGAGGAGUAGUAAAAGUUCUUUGGAAUAGGACAUCAUAGAGGGUGAGAAUCCCGUAUUUGACUAUUCUUUCUAGCUUUGUGAUACACUUUCAAAGAGUCGGAUUGUUUGGGAAUGCAGUCCAAAAUGGGUGGUAAAUUUCAUCUAAAGCUAAAUAUUGGCGAGAGACCGAUAGCGAACAAGUACCGUGAGGGAAAGAUGAAAAGAACUUUGAAAAGAGAGUUAAACAGUACGUGAAAUUGUCAAAAGGGAAGCGCUUGACACCAGUGUUGUUUUUCCGAAAAUCAAUUAAAAAUUGAUUCAUGCCAGGUUGUAUUGACCUUAUCAGCUUGCAAUUUGGUUUUGGGUCUCUUUUUGAUGCACUUUUCGGUUAACAAGUCAACAUCAAUUUCCUUUGCUGUAAAAAGGUAAGAGGAAGGUGGCUUCAAUUUCGGUUGAAGUGUUUAUAGCCUUUUAUCUCUGCAGUCGGGGAGAUUGAGGUCUGCAGCGUAGAUCCUUCGGGGCUAGAUACAUUUAUGCUAAGUUAUAGCUUUUCAUAGACAACUUGUUGACUAUGUUUAGUCAUGUAGCUUACUCGUAAGUGCUAUUUUACCUACGCUUAGGAUGUUGAAGACUCUACAGAGAUA